rnacentral:rRNA from 1 species
GAUGAACGCUAGCGGCAGGCUUAACACAUGCAAGUCGAGGGGCAGCAUGACACGGAGAUUCGUCGAAGUGUUGAUGGCGACCGGCGCAAGGGUGCGUAACGCGUGAGCAACUUGCCCGUUUCAGGGGGAUAACCGGUGGAAACGCCGACUAAUACCCCAUAGCAUCAACUUCAGGCAUCUUUAGUUGAUUAAAGAAUUUCGGAAACGGAUAGGCUCGCGUGACAUUAGCUAGAUGGUGGGGUAACGGCCCACCAUGGCGACGAUGUCUAGGGGUUCUGAGAGGAAGGUCCCCCACACUGGAACUGAGACACGGUCCAGACUCCUACGGGAGGCAGCAGUGAGGAAUAUUGGUCAAUGGUCUGACGACUGAACCAGCCAUGCCGCGUGAAGGUGACGGCCCUAUGGGUCUUAAACUUCUUUUGCAAGGGAGCAAUAAGUCCCACGUGUGGGAUGAUGAGAGUACCUUGCGAAUAAGCAUCGGCUAACUCCGUG